rnacentral:rRNA from 1 species
CAAGCAGCGGAGCGUGUGGUUUAAUUCGUUGCUACACGAAGAACUUACCUGGUUUGACAUAUAGGUUGUAGGGAACUGAAAGGGACCGACCCUUCGGGGAGCCUAUACAGGUGUUGCAUGGCUGUCGUCAGCUCGUGUCGUGAGAUGUUCGGUUAAGUCCGCUAACGAGCGCAACCCUCGUCGUAUGUUAUAUGUGUCAUACGAGACUGCCGGUAAAAAGCCGGAGGAAGGUGAGGAUGAUGUCAAGUCAGCAUGACCUUUAUAUCCAGGGCUACACACACGCUACAAUGGUCUGUACAAUGGGUAGCCAAGCCGCGAGGCGGAGCCAAUCCUGAAAGCAGGCCUCAGUUCAGAUUGCAGUCUGCAACUCGACUGCAUGAAGCCGGAGUUGCUAGUAACCGCAGGUCAGCAAUACUGCGGUGAAUACGUUCCCGGGUCUU